rnacentral:rRNA from 1 species
GCCCUUCGGGGUACACGAGCGGCGAACGGGUGAGUAACACGUGAGUAACCUGCCCCUGACUCUGGGAUAAGCGGUGGAAACGCCGUCUAAUACCGGAUACGACCCGCCACCUCAUGGUGGAGGGUGGAAAGUUUUUCGGUCAGGGAUGGGCUCGCGGCCUAUCAGCUUGUUGGUGGGGUAACGGCCUACCAAGGCGAUUACGGGUAGCCGGCCUGAGAGGGCGACCGGCCACACUGGGACUGAGACACGGCCCAGACUCCUGCGGGAGGCAGCAGUGGGGAAUAUUGCGCAAUGGGCGAAAGCCUGACGCAGCGACGCCGCGUGGGGGAUGACGGCCUUCGGGUUGUAAACCUCUUUUACCACCAACGCAGGCUUCCAGUUCUCUGGAGGUUGACGGUAGGUGGGGAAUAAGGACCGGCUAACUACGUGCCAGCAGCCGCGGUAAUACGUAGGGUCCGAGCGUUGUCCGGAAUUAUUGGGCGUAAAGAGCUCGUAGGCGGCGUGUCGCGUCUGCUGUGAAAGACCGGGGCUUAACUCCGGUUCUGCAGUGGAUACGGGCAUGCUAGAGGUAGGUAGGGGAGACUGGAAUUCCUGGUGUAGCGGUGAAAUGCGCAGAUAUCAGGAGGAACACCGGUGGCGAAGGCGGGUCUCUGGGCCUUACCUGACGCUGAGGAGCGAAAGCAUGGGGAGCGAACAGGAUUAGAUACCCUGGUAGUCCAUGCCGUAAACGUUGGGGCGCUAGG